GUGCUUGCUUUGGCAGCACGUAUACUAAAAUUGGAACAAUACAGAGAUUAGUAUGGCCCCUGUGCAAGGAUGACACGCAAAUUCUUGAAGGGUUCCAUAUUUUU
rnacentral:snRNA from 1 species